rnacentral:rRNA from 1 species
CGAUUUGGGAUAAGUCCCUUGGAAAAGGGCAGCACAGAGGGUGAUACUCCCGUCUUUGCUCAGAUUGUCUAUGUGUACGAUACGCUUUCUUUGAGUCGAGUUGUUUGGGAAUACAGCUCAAAGUAGGUGGUAAAUUCCAUCUAAAGCUAAAUAUUGGUGCGAGACCGAUAGCGAACAAGUACCGUGAGGGAAAGAUGAAAAGAACUUUGAAAAGAGAGUUAAAGAGUACCUGAAACUGUUGAAAGGGAACCGUAACAUGUCCAGUGUUGUAUCUCGUGCAUAUUUCAUUAGUGGAGUAAUUUACUGGUGCCCUGUGCAUGAGUGUGACGUCAAAGUCAGUUUGUAUGCUGCGGGAGAUGGGUAGCAAGGAGGUGCGUCACUUUGUGUCAGUUAUACCUUGUUAUCUAGUAGCCGUGGUUGAGACUGAGGUGCCUACAACAUGCUUAUAGAGUAUAUUGUUGUCUCGUUAUUAUAUCUGUUUGGAUAGCUUGCUAUGCUGAUGGACUAUAGUGGCGAUUGACGAUGGUAUUAACUUUUUGCUGUUCGGGACUUUGACGAAAUGGAAUGUUACGACCCGUCUUGAAACACGGACCAAGGAGUCUAACAUGUGUGCAAGUAUUAGGGUGUGGAAACCCAAAUGCGUAAUGAAAGUAAAUGCUACCUGUGUAGCUUUGGUAGGAAAGGGCUGUCAUGGUCCUGGCACUAUCGACCGAUCAUGAACCUACGGGUGAAAGAUUUGAGUAUGAGCAUAUAUGUUGGUACCCGAAAGAUGGUGAACUAUGCCUGAAUAGAGUGAAGCCAGGGGAAACUCUGGUGGAAGCUCGUAGCGAUUCUGACGUGCAAAUCGAUCGUCAAAUUUGGGUAUAGGGGCGAAAGACUAAUCGAACCAUCUAGUAGCUGGUUCCCUCCGAAAUUUCCCUC